AUUGGCUGCGACGUGUCUCGUGAUUGGCCAUUACGCUCGGUGGAGCGCAGAGAGGCGGAGAAACGGAAGUCGGAAAACAGAUUUAAACCAAGUUUGAAAGGUUGCUUCUGUUUGCCAGUACUGCGAGAAAGUGUCGUUAACGAAGAGACCUGGAUGCUAAAACAAACUGGAGCUGCUUUUUUUGUCGAACACGAGUGAGACUGGACACUGAACACAAAUACGGCGCGAAGGCUUACUCAUUCAGCUGCUGCAGCCUGGACAGAAACACCAGCUCUCACUUUACAAACCAAAUAGGUGUCACCACUUCGUCCACAAUUGCAGAGAGUCAAUUAAGAAGUUCUUUGAGACCAGGACCGCCAGGAUUCAAACUUCAACCAUUAAAUCACAGAGAGAAGAGACAGACAUGAAGACAUUUCCAGAAGGUCUUCAGCUGCUGUCAUCUUCUCCUCCUGCAGAGACAAGAACACGUCUUAAUCGCAGUUUUGGACUUAUUUUUUAUGCCCUACUGUACUAUGACAUGCAGCUUAUGACAAAACAGCAAUCUUACCAUUGUUUUCCAUAGACACACACCUCUACAAAGUGUUUGUGGCUUAGGUUAGAUUUUGGGUUCAUCAUUUCAUUUUGGUAUUUUGCUAAGUCAAACAGUACAAUAUCACUACUCAUAUUCAGUCUAUUACUGUGUACGAAAUCAUUUUUAUACUGUUCAUAUUGUUAUACAUUAUGUUGUCUUGUUUAUAUUAUGCCUUUUUCU